GUUAAACUGGUUAGCAGUUGAAGAAGAGAAAAAAAACAAAGGUUAAGAUGGAACAAGCAGAGGGGCUAGGCCUCCUCCUGCAGAGGAAAGCCCCUCAUUCCUGAGAAGACCUAGGAAGUUCAGGAAGAGACUCCAGAUUGAGAAGUGGAUGUAACCUCGCAAUCGGUGACCAGUCCAUGAGUAGGAAAUGAGGUACUCAAAAGGCUGCAUUCCUCCUCCACAAAAACCAAAACAAAGAUUCAGAGAAACUGCCGACCUAAAUGCAAGGUGAAGAGUCUCUUCCUCCUGCUUGUGAAGGCAGUUUCCGUCUCUCAGAGACGAGAUAGAACUGGGAAAGGGUAGAGAUGAGGCAGAGGACUGACUCAAAAGGAAGACAAGGACAGUCAUGUGCUGCAGAACAACAUUUGGGUCAACGAUGGACCACAUAUAUGAUGGUAGUCCCCUAAGGUUAGUACCAUACAGCCUAGGUGUGUAGUGGGCUAUCCCAU
rnacentral:lncRNA from 1 species